GAGGUUUUCGGCUUCUACCCGGCUUCUACCUUGGAGUUGUUUGUUGAGUAUUUGUUCUCACAUACAUUUUUCUUCUUUUUUAAAUGAAAUUUCUCAGAGAAGAUCAAGAUGCAUAGAGAAGUGCCUGGAAAGACAGACUUCUUACACAAACAUGCCGGCAUGUAAAUACCAGCGUACACGUGGUUCUCUUCAGAGGAGUCACCUUGGGAUCUGUGUUAAUUUUGAUGCAGUUGCCUUUGUUUGUGCCAUCACUUCAGAGAAACACAUGAUCCUGGACACAGAAUAGCAUCGAUUCAGUUGGAAAAGUUUGGAACUGAAGAGCUGAGAAAAACAAACAUCUGUUGGGGAGGAAAAAAUAUUUUUCUUCUACCCUUAUAGACAACUUAAAAACAAACAGAGGACCAGGUGCGAUAAAUUUUGCGGCAUUAUUGCUUCUUAAGGAACUUGACACUAGUGUGGAAACCACGAGCAAAAUUCAUUCUUAUGGACAUUUCUGUUACACCUAUCAAGAUUCCUAAAGAUUUGAUACCUUUUGGAAGAACUAUGAAUGUUGAUUAUUUCUUUCUAAAAAAUGUUGGAGAGUUUUGAAUUCCCAUUUUAUAUCUUUCUUCCCAAGACCAACAAGAACAGCCCUCCUUUCUCUACCCAAGCCCCGGCCAAAAUCACCAAUGGAUAUUUAGUAUUGGAUUUGGGGAAACUGAUCAAAGAGUGAAGGCAAAAUCUAAAAGUUGUAAUUGGUAUUAAUAACUAAGCUGAGGGAAGCUGGUGGCGGUGAUGGUGUUCUCCAGAUGGGACUGGAUAGAAAAGAGGGGACUAUUGGAUAAAG